UUUCUUUUUCUUUCUUUUUUUUUUUUUAAGACGGAGUAUCGCUCUGUUGCCCGGGCUGGUGUGCAGUGGCGCGAUCUCGGCUCACUGCAAGCUCCGCCUCCUGGGUUCCCGCCAUUCUUCCGCCUCAGCCUUCCAAGUAGCUGGGACUACCGGCGCCCGCCAUCGCGCCCAGCUCAUUUUUUUGUAUUUUUAGUAGAGAGGGGGUUUCACCGUUUUAGCCAGGAUGGUCUCGAUAUCCUGACCUUGUGAUCCGCCCGCCUCGGCCUCUCAAAGUGCUGGGAUUACAGGCGUGAGCCACCGCGCCCGACCUAUUGGUUUCUUUUUUUGACACGGAGUCUCACUCUGCCACCCAGGGUGGAGUGCAGUGAUGCAACGUCUCCCUCUUGGGUUCAAGCAAUUCUCCUGCCUCAGGCUCCCAAGUAGCUGGGAUUACAGAAAACUCUUGAGUUCUCCCUGAAAGGAGACUAAAGAACAAUCCUCUGCAGAUGUGUCUGAAUCCUAAAAUGAACUUAAGUCAAGCAUGAUCCCUAAGGCUGCUCAGGGAGAGAGAACCUAGAAACCUGGCAUGCUGGCAAAAGGAGACCAUCAAGCUUCAGAUGAUCAUGCAACAAAAGUCCCAGCUAGUUCCAGGUGAAGACAACACACCUGGCCUUCAAAAAGCUACUCUGCCUCCACUAGAGAGAACAGGGCGAGAGUUCCAUGAUCCCCAGUAGAGUCUCACUCUGUGUCACAGGCUGAAGUGCAGUGGCACAAUCUUGGCUCACUGCAACCUCCACCUCCCGGGUUCAAGUGAUUCUCCUGCUUCAGCCUCCGGAGUAGCUGGGACUACAGGAUGAAAACUAUAAAUCAUUCGCUUUCCCAGAGUGAAGUUUGACUUAUUCCUGUGGCCAACAUGGCUUAUGGACACCAAGGACAAAUAAGUCAGAAUAACUUGAUGGAAAAGACCUUCAGCGAUAACUACAUAGUUUUCAUCUCUUGUUAUAUAAUAAAAGCUACCACCUGCAGUUCUCACAGCAGUAGAAUUCCAAAUCAGCCGCUGCAAAAUCAGCAACAGCAGCUGUAACCUGGUUUUUAGAGAAGUUGAAAUCAAUUUUCACAGGUAACUUAAAGUUUAUACAAAUGCAGAUUGUGUUCGCCAGGGUUUAACAUUUGUAUAAUAGUCAUAAAGAUAAUAGUACGAUAAAGAGUUAUUCUUACUGAAUUUCAAUACACAGUCUCUUCUUUUCUGUUAUGGUCUUCAAAGGUAUUAUUUAAGCUUAAUUACAUUUAUGAAAACAAAUUAAUAAAAAUGUCAAAGUUGGGAUUUAAAGAGGUAUACACUUACUAAAAUAAGGUAUGUUUCUUAAACAAAAUGUAUUCUAUUUUAAUCAUUAAUUUAAGACUUUCAGUUCUUCAUGAAUCAGUGACCCAUCAAUAGUGUAUCUUUUACUGUAAGUUAAUUUCAAUCCUAGAUUUGUAUACAAUUAAAGUAACAUAUUUAUCUUAAUCUUUUAAGUUUUUAUAUAUCAUCCAGAAAAAUGAGAUAUCUAUAAUAGUCUUUCAGUUCUGUAAACUUUUCUCUUUUUUCUUUCUUUAAUUUUUUUUUUACUUUUUAUUUUUGGUAACAAUGGUUUUACAUAUUUAUGUGGUAGAUGUACCAUUUUGAUACAAGCAUAAAAUGUGUAAUAAUAAAAUCUAGGUAAUUGGGAUAUUCAUUACAUAAAAUAUUUAUAAUUUAUGUGUGUUGGGAACAUUCCAAAUCUCUUCUUCUAGUUAUUUUUAAAUUUACAAUAAAUUAUUAUUAACUGUAGUCACCCUAUUGUGCUACUGAACACUAGACCUUAUUCUAUUAACCAUCCCCUCUUUAUAACCCCCCGCAAACCCACUACCCUUCCCAACCUCUGGUAACUGUCAUUCUACUCUCUGUCUUUAUGAGAUCAGUUUUCUUUAGUUCCCAUAUAUAAGUGAAAACAUGCAACAUUUAUCUUUCUGUGCCUGGCUUAUUUCACUGAACAUAGUAUCCUCCAGUUCCAUCCAUGUUGUUAUAAUUAUCAUGAUUUCAUUCUUUUGUGUGACUGAAUAAUAAUCCAUUGUGUAUAUAUACCACAUUUUCUGUAUUCAUUCAUUUGUUGUUUGACACAGUUUGAUUUCAUAUCUUGGCUAUGGCAAAUAGUGCUGCAAUAAACAUGGGUGUGCCAACAUCUCUCUCCAAUAGAUGUAUUUCCUUUAUUUUGAAUAAAUACCCAGUAGUGAGAUUGCUGGAUUAUAUUGUAGUUCUAUUUUUAGUUUUUUAAGGAACCUCCUUACUGCUUUCCAUAGUGACUAUACUAAUUUACAUCCCACCGAUAGUGUAUGAGUGUUCCUCCUUCUCCACCUCCUUACCACCAUUUAUUUUCUGUCUUUUUGUAUUUUUGUUAUCCCAUUUGUCCAUUUUGGUUUUCAUUGCCUGUGCUUUUGAGGUCUUAUUCAACAAAUUUUGCCCAGACUAAUGUACUCAAAUAUUUUCCCUAUGUUUUCUUCUAGUAGUUUCAGGUCUUACAUUUAAGUCUUUAAUACAUUUAGAUUUGUUUUUGCAUAUGGUAAGAGAGAGGGUACUAAUUUCAUUCUUCUGCAUAUGGUUAUCUAGUUUUUCAAGCAUCAAUUAUUGAAAAGACUGUCCUUGCUGCAGUGUAUGUUUUUGGUACUUUGUCAAAAAUGAAUUGACUGUAAAUGUGUGGAUUGAUUUGUAGGUUAUCUAUUAUGUUCUAUGUGUCUGUUUUUAUGGCAGUACCAUGCUGAUUUUAAUACUAUAGCUUUGUAGUAUAAUUUGAAGUCAGAUACUGUGCUUCUUCCAGCUUUGUUCUCUUUGUUCAGAAUUGUUGUAGGUAUUCCAGGUCGUUUGUGGUUCCAUAUACAUUUUAGAAUUUUUUUUUAUUUCUGUGAAGAAUUUCAUUAGUACUUUGACACAUACUGUAUUGAAUCUGUAGAUAAUGUUAGGCAGUAUAGACAUCUUAAUAAUAUUGAUUUUUCUAAUUCAUGAUUAUGAAAUAUCUUUCCAUUUUUGUGUCUUCAAUUUACUCCCUUGAUGUUUUAUAGCAUUUUUAUCAACAAAAAUUGUGUAUGUUUAUAAUAUACAGCAUGAUGUUUUGAAAUAUGUAUAUAUUGUAGAAUGGGUAAAUCGAGCUAACUAACAUAUGUAUUCCCUCAUAUGUAUAUAUAUUUGUGUGUGUGUGUAUGGCGAGAACACAUAAAAUCUAUUUUCAAGUUAUUUACAUGUGGGUGGAUUAUCGUUGUACAUUGGCUUAUAACUUAAUUUGUUGUUAAGUGACAAAAGUGGAUGGAUAGUAUGCUUCCUUUUAUGUGGAAGAGGGAACUUGGGGAGCUUAGGGAGUGCACACGCUGGAGGGACUUUUUAUUUUAGCAAUGCUUCUUGCAGUACAUUUAUAACUCACGUAUAGAAAACUUUCACAAUUUUUCAUAAGCAUUUUGCAAUUAUGAUUAAGUGGAUUUUUCAAAGCAAUACAAAUAGAAGGCCAAGGAAGGUGGCUUAUGUCUAUAAUCCCAGCACUUUGGGAGGCCAAGAUGGGCUGAUCACCUGAAGUCAGGGGUUCAAGACCAGCCUGGCCAACGUGGUGAAAUUCUGUCUCUACUAAAAAUACAAAAAUUAGCCAGACACGGUAGCACACAUAUGUAAUCCAAGCUACUCUGGAGGCUGAGGCAGGAGAAUUAUUUGAACCUGAGAGUG
rnacentral:lncRNA from 1 species